CCUCCCCAGGCCUGAGCUCACCACAGGUCUUUGCCUGCACCACCAGAUUCUAGGAUCUUCAGGGGUAAAGAGGGAGCUUUUUUCACCUUUCUAUCCCCAGCCCUCUCUGCAGUGACAGGAACACAAACUUUUCUCUUCCAGUAUGGACUGGUGUUUCCUUAGGCCAGCUAUAGGGCUGUCAUCAACCUAGGGUUCUUCUCCAUCAACCCUGGAGUUCUCGUUUUUGAUGGAUAUCCUGUUCCUGUGUCCUACAUCUUCCUCAUUCCUGGUAUGUUUUCUUGCUUGAUGACACACAACCUCCACCAGCUUC
rnacentral:lncRNA from 1 species